AUUGAACGCUGGCGGCAGGCCUAACACAUGCAAGUCGAGCGAGCGGCGGGUGGGUGAGUACUGUAUGGGGACUGCCCGUUAGAGGGGGCUCACUACUGGCAACGGUAGCUAAUCCCGCAUACUCUCGGCUAACCUCUAUGGGAUUAGCUAGUAGGUGAGGUAAUGGCUCACCUAGGCGACGCUCCCUAGCUGGUCUGAGAGGUUGAUCAGCCACACUGGGACUGAGACACGGCCCAGACUCCGACGGAGGCAGCAGUGGGGAAUAUUGGACAAUGGGCGAAAGCCGGAUGCAGCCAUGCCGCGUGUAUGAAGAAGGCCAUAGGGUUGUAAAGUACUUUCAGUCGGGAGGCGUUACCGACAGAAGAAGCACCGGCUAACUCCGUGCCAGCAGCCGCGGUAAUUC
rnacentral:rRNA from 1 species